GAUGAAGAACGUAGCGAAAUGCGAUAAGUAAUGUGAAUUGCAGAAUUCAGUGAAUCAUCGAAUCUUUGAACGCACAUUGCGCCCGCCAGUAUUCUGGCGGGCAUGCCUGUUCGAGCGUCAUUUCAACCCUCAAGCCCAGCUUGGUGUUGGGGAUCGGCACAGGCGCCCUCGGGCGCCCGCCGUCCCCUAAAUCUAGUGGCGGUCCCGCUGCAGCCUCCUCUGCGUAGUAGUUUUCUCCUCGCAAGGGCAGCUCGGUGGCGACCUCGCCGUAAAACCCCCAACUUCUGAAAGGUUGGCCUCGAAUCAGGUAGGAAUACCCGCUGAACUUAAGCAUAUCAAUAAGCGGAGGA
rnacentral:misc_RNA from 1 species